UUCUGCUGGAAGGGAGUCGUCAUCCUUAUCAUUCAAAGUAGCACCUAAACAUAAAAAGAUAAAAUGUUUUAAGGAAAAUCAUUGCCAUUCUCCUUACUCCAAAAUCUGACAGUGUACAGAUGGAGACCACACCACGCAAGCAUUUCUUAAACCAACCUCACGCAAGUAUGGAUACCUUUUGCGUUCCAAUUGAGGUGUAUCCAAUGUUGUCUGCUGAUUCAUUGCUUUAAUCCAAUAUAUAAGGGCUUGAAAAACAUAUGCCACAUGCUUCAGUGAACAAACAUCCAAAACUGGAAGAACAUCAGAAUGCUCAUCAUUGUGAGACCGCAUUAAAGAGAGUGCAUAAUUUAGGAAGUCCCCUCGAGCAGACAUCAUUCCUUGACGGGCACUGAGCAAAGUGGCACGUCUAUUGGAGCAAAAGGAAAAGAAAAUGUUUCCAAACAGAACACAAAUAUGAAAUGUACCAUUAUCAUAUAUAUGCAAAAUUAGGAACUGAGAAUAUUCUUAAAUAAAAAGCACAUUAAGCCUGAGAUUCUGCUUUAGAAAUACAACCGCUGUAUCUGAUUUACAGUGUCCACUGGAAUGGGAGAAGGAGCUCCUUCCCUAAAAAUAUGGGUUCUUAAAAUUCAGCAUACAUCAGAAUCACGUGGACCCAUAAAAAAACCAAACCUACUACUGUUGAGUUGAUUCUGACACACAGCGACACUACAGGACAGAGUAGAACUGACCCAUACAGUUUCCAAGGAACACCUGGUAGAUUUGAACUGCUGACCUCUUGGUUAGCAGCUGUAGCUCUUAACCACUACGCCACCAGGGUUUCCAGAAUCACCUGGAAGGCUUGUUAAAACAGACAGCUGGCUUCACACCCAUAGUUUCAACAGUCUGGGACAGGGGCCAAAAAUUUGCAUUUAUGAUAAAUUCCCAGGUGAUGCUAAUGAUGCUGUUCUGGAGACCACACAUUGAGAACCAGUGCCUAAAUAGAUAAAUGAAACCAAAAGCACAAGGAACAAAAUAAAAACGGAUAAACUGGACUUCAUCAAAAUUAAAAAUUUUUGUGCUUCAAAUGAUACCAUCAAAAAAGUGAAGACAACCCACAGAAUGGAAGAAAAUUUUUGCACAGUGUAUAUUGCAUAAGGGACUUGUAUUCAGAACAUAUAAAGAACUCAUACCAAUCAAUAAUAAAAAAAAAAAAUAACCCAAUUUUAAAAACCGAGCAAAGAUUC